rnacentral:rRNA from 1 species
GAUAAACGCUGGCGGCGCACAUAAGACAUGCAAGUCGAACGGAAGUCGUUGUAAUGAUUUUGACAUGGACAGAGAACUUGUUCGAAGAAAGUGAAGAUUGACUUACAACAAUGGCUUUAGUGGCGGACUGGUGAGUAACGCGUGAGCAACCUGCCUGUUAGAGGGGAAUAACAGUGAGAAAUCAUUGCUAAUACCGCAUAUGCCAUAAGUACCACAUGGUACUAGUGGGAAAGGAGCAAUCCGCUAACAGAUGGGCUCGCGUCUGAUUAGAUAGUUGGUAAGGUAACGGCUUACCAAGGCGACGAUCAGUAGCCGACCUGAGAGGGUGACCGGCCACAUUGGGACUGAGACACGGCCCAA